rnacentral:rRNA from 1 species
AUCUAGAGAAGCGUCUUCCGCGCCGGACCGUGUACAAGUCUCCUGGAAGGGAGCAUCGUAGAGGGUGACAAUCCCGUCUCUGACACGGAUCCCCGGUGCUAUGUGAUGCGCUCUCGACGAGUCGAGUUGUUUGGGAAUGCAGCUCAAAUCGGGUGGUAAACUCCAUCUAAAGCUAAAUACAGGCGAGAGACCGAUAGCGAACAAGUACCGUGAGGGAAAGAUGAAAAGAACUUUGGAAAGAGAGUUAAACAGUACGUGAAAUUGCUGGAAGGGAAACGCUUGACGUCAGUCGCGUCGUCCGGGGAUCAACCUCGCUUUUCGCUGGGCGUAUUUCCCGGUCGACGGGUCAGCAUCGAUUUCGACCGUCGUAGAAGGACGCGAGUGAAUGUGGCACUCCACGGGGUGUGUUAUAGCCUCGCGUAUGGAUGCGAUGGUCGGGAUCGAGGAACUCGGCACGACCCCUCGAGGGUUCGGGGCUUCGGUCCACGCGCGUGCCCAGGAUGCUGGCGUAAUGGCUUUAAGCGACCCGUCUUGAAACACGGACCAAGGAGUCUAACGUGCCUGCGAGUGUUCGGGUGCAAAACCCGAGCGCGCAACGAAAGUGAAAGUCGAGACCUCCGUCGUGGAGGGCACCGACGCCCGGACCGGAGCCUUUGGCGAUGGAUCUGCGGUAGAGCAUGUAUGUUGGGACCCGAAAGAUGGUGAACUAUGCCUGAAUAGGGCGAAGCCA